GCGGGGCAGGGCGGGGCGCUGCGGCGGCCGUGAGGAAGGGCUGGGGAGGUUCCCCGCCGGGUCGCACCGAGCCGCUUCCCUCCACCGCCGGCCCGGCCAUGGCGUACGGUGGCCUCACGGUGCCCAUCAUCGUCAUGAGCGUUUUCUGGGGGGUGGUCGGAGGCGUCCUGCCAUGGCUCAUACCCAAGGGGCCUAACCGAGGUGUUAUCAACACAAUGCUGGUGACAUGUGCUGUUUGCUGCUACCUGUUUUGGCUGAUUGCGAUUCUGGCUCAACUCAACCCUCUCUUUGGGCCGCAGUUAAGCAAUGAAACAAUCUGGUACCUUAAAUACCACUGGCCUUAAGGAUGUCUGUCCUAUGCUGAAAUCUGUUGACUAGGAUAAUUCAGUUGUGUGGGAUCUGAAGUGAUCUGUGUGUUGUGAGCAGCAAGGUAAAACUGGAUAUGAGAUACAACUCUUGGACUCCAGCUGCCUGAUGAAAGAAUCAGGCUUUCCCUCUCCCUUUCAGUGAAGAAUUUUCCAGAGAGCUGAAGGUAAAGAAGAGAUUUUCUUCAGAUGAAACACUCCACUGCCCAAAGAUGCCCUUAACAUAGUCGGUUGGAUACCAAGCCUGCAUUAAUGCCUUAACCUUUCUAUUGUGCUUCAAAUGGCUUGUUCAAAGCCCUGUAUUUUUUCCUUCUAUACCUUUAACAGUGUGCCUAAUGCAGUUUAUACUCCCCUUUGAUGCUGUAAAUUUUUGUCUCUUAACUUCACAUGUGAUGAAAAUUUCUAAAGUUUUUAUGGGUAUUUGCUUUCCUGUUCAUUUUUCUCACUCUACGGGAAGACUGUAUAUAUGUUACAAGCCUUAGGUUGUCUAUUGCUGUGCUGUUCACCCUGUUCUGUUUGAUUGUGAUUGGUAAAAUGUCUGCAAGAAACUCUGUGAGGAGAAGACAAACAGUGGUGCCACAUGUUGAUGGCAUUUCUUCUUUUGAAUGAGUUGUAUUCUUGGGAAAUUUGGCCUUAAGUUUCUCAUGCCUGGAAAUAAAACUAAUCUCUGCUUUA